rnacentral:rRNA from 1 species
UAACACAUGCAAGUCGAGGGAGAAGCACGUCUUCGGAUGUGUGGAGACCGGCGAACGGGUGAGUAACACGUGAGAAACCUACCCCGGAGAUGGGAAUAACCACGGGAAACUGUGGCUAAUGCCCAAUAUUCUCCAUUUACCGCAUGGCAGCUGGAGGAAAAGUCCGCUGCUCCGGGAUGGUCUCGCGGCGUAUCAGCUUGUUGGUGAGGUAAUGGCUCACCAAGGCAACGACGCGUAGCUGGAGUGAGAGCUCGAACAGCCACACUGGGACUGAGACACGGCCCAGACUCCUACGGGAGGCAGCAGUGGGGAAUCUUGCGCAAUGGGCGAAAGCCUGACGCAGCGACGCCGCGUGUGGGAAGAAGGCCUUCGGGUUGCAAACCACUUUCAGGAGGGAAGAAGCGAAAGUGACGGUACCUCCAGAAGAAGGUCCGGCCAACUACGUGCCAGCAGCCGCGGUAAUACGUAGGGACCGAGCGUUGUCCGGAAUUAUUGGGCGUAAAGAGCUCGUAGGCGGUUCUUUAAGUCGGAUGUGAAAUCUCAGGCUUAACCCUGAAACCGCACCCGAUACUGGAGAACUUGAGGCAGGUAGGGGGAUCGGAAUUCCUGGUGUAGCGGUGAAAUGCGCAGAUAUCAGGAGGAACACCGGUGGCGAAGGCGGAUCUCUGGGCCUGUUCUGACGCUGAGGAGCGAAAGCGUGGGGAGCAAACAGGAUUAGAUACCCUGGUAGUCCACGCCGUAAACGAUGGGUGCUAGGUGUGGGAGAUAAUCCACUUCUUCCGUGCCGCAACUAACGCAUUAAGCACCCCGCCUGGGGACUACGGCCGCAAGGCUAAAACUCAAAGGAAUUGACGGGGGCCCGCACAAGCGGCGGAGCAUGUGGCUUAAUUCGAAGCAACGCGAAGAACCUUACCAGGGCUUGAAAUAUACGGAAAAACCAUGGAAACAUGGUGUGCUUCGGCGUCGUAUACAGGUGGUGCAUGGUUGUCGUCAGCUCGUGCCGUGAGGUGUUGGGUCAAGUCCCGCAACGAGCGCAACCCUUAUCCUAUGUUGCCAGCGCGUAAUGGCGGGGACUCAUGGGAGACUGCCGGUGUCAAACCGGAGGAAGGUGGGGACGACGUCAAAUCAUCAUGCCCCUUAUGUCCUGGGCUGCACACAUGCUACAAUGGCCGGUACAGAGGGCUGCGAUCCCGCGAGGGUGAGCGAAUCUCACAAAGCCGGUCUCAGUUCGGAUUGGAGUCUGCAACUCGACUCCAUGAAGGCGGAGUCGCUAGUAAUCGCAGAUCAGCAACGCUGCGGUGAAUACGUUCCCGGGCCUUGUACACACCGCCCGUCACGUCAUGAAAGUCGGUAACACCCGAAGUCAGUGGCCCAACCGCAAGGAGGGAGCUGCCGAAGGUGGGAUCGGCGAUUGGGACG